AUCAUGAGUUCACAUGUCCGCAUGAUUAAAGGUAUUUUCCGGUAGACGAUGGGGAUGCGUUCCAUUAGAUAGUGGGCGGGGUAACGGCCCACCUAGUCAACGAUGGAUAGGGGUUCUGAGAGGAAGGUCCCCCACAUUGGAACUGAGACACGGUCCAAACUCCUACGGGAGGCAGCAGUGAGGAAUAUUGGUCAAUGGGCGAUGGCCUGAACCAGCCAAGUAGCGUGAAGGAUGACUGCCCUAUGGGUUGUAAACUUCUUUUAUAAAGGAAUAAAGUCGGGUAUGCAUACCCGUUUGCAUGUACUUUAUGAAUAAGGAUCGGCUAACUCCGUGCCAGCAGCCGCGGUAAUACGGAGGAUCCGAGCGUUAUCCGGAUUUAUUGGGUUUAAAGGGAGCGUAGAUGGAUGUUUAAGUCAGUUGUGAAAGUUUGCGGCUCAACUGUAAAAUUGCAGUUGAUACUGGAUGUCUUGAGUGCAGUUGAGGCAGGCGGAAUUCGUGGUGUAGCGGUGAAAUGCUUAGAUAUCACGAAGAACUCCGAUUG
rnacentral:rRNA from 1 species